GCUGUAUUUACAUUUGUGAGUUUGUCCUGGGCUAAUGAGAUGGCAGCAGUGAAGGCGUGGGAUCAGAGGGGUUCUUGGGAACGCUCUCAUUGCCAUUCUGGUCAGCAAUCAAACUGUUUGUAGAGUCAGUGUUCCAUGAAAACAAAAUGCUCACACACACAUACACAAAUGGAAGGAUGUGUGGUCAUAAACACAGUUGGCUUAAGUGGAGCGUAUCGGUGUGUUUUUAAAGAGCAGCUGGUUCCAGCUGAGGAAGAUCCGGUGACAUUUAGCCACCGGCUGGGUUUAAAGGUUUACAGCUACACCCUUAACCACACACACACACACAGGUCUGAUUAGAGGCUGCAGACACACAGGUCUGAUUAUAGACCGCAGACACACAGGUCUGAUUAGAGACUGCAGACACACAGGUCUGAUUAGAGACUGCAGACACACAGGUCUGAUUAGAGACUGCAGACACACAGGUCUGAUUAUAGACCGCAGACACACAGGUCUGAUUAGAGACUGCAGACACACAGGUCUGAUUAGAGACUGCAGACACACAGGUCUGAUUAUAGACCGCAGACACACAGGUCUGAUUAGAGCCUGCAGACACACUGGUCUGAUUAGAGACUGCAGACACACAGGUCCUGUCCCAUCCACCAUCCACUUCCCUCAUGCCCUACCAUCCCCUGCCCAAUAAUUCAUUCAUUCAUAUUUUACAGCAUUUUGUUCUGUCCAGACAAGCCCCUAAAAGAAGAGAUGGGUCAUUCCACCAAUUCCGUGCCUUUCGAGUGUAAACACUUUUGAUUCCACCUAAUUUUAACAUUCUGUCAUGAAGAGCACAUGUUCACCUCAUAAAAAAACAUGUUUUUCCAUCUCAAGAGGUUAAAUAAAUAAAAUUACUCUAGUAAGUGCUUAUUAAGUACCAAAUAAUGUUGCCCGGGUUGACGAUUUAUUCUUAAAUCAGCCAUGAAUCCCCUUGUGACAGGGGGAAUGGACGUUUGUUGUGUGCAACAGGAAGGGGCAAUUGAAUGCAUGCUUCACAAUUGAUUGAUUUAUUGUUAAAACAUUUAGAGUCCGUCUAUCUACGCGUUAUACUCAACCUGCUCAGUUUUCCACCACAAAACACCAGAAAUGUAACUACUUUUACACUUAUGAUUUGGCUAUUGACUGUUUCUUUUGAAUUACAUAUGAAAAAGGAAUGCUUUCACCAUAUUAAAACCAGAGUUCAGUUCACAUAACAGGGUUCACCUUAAAAUAAGGGACAGACGUAAAUUAGUCACUAAUCACAUUAAAUAAAUAAUCAUCUUCAGAAAUGACUUUGUCAAAGCAACAACAUAAUGAGGGCUUUACAAUGAUGGUGAAACUUGGAGACAUUCUGGGAUUAAGUGGGUUAAAAUCUUCACAGGUGUGACACAGGGUUGACAGAGGGACAUGUCAAAAUGCUGAAUUUUGACACUUUAGCAAGAUAUAUUGAAUUAUCCAUGUGGUCUAUAUUAAAGGGCACUUCAUUUAAUAUAGCAGGUUUUUAUAUUUAUAUGCACAAUUUCUUCUUAAAAUAUCAAAGGGACGCAAAAGGCACUGUUUUUGUGGAAUGACCCAGAUAUCUACUUCAUUCUCUGAAGCAGGCCCAGUCAGUUACUAUACCCACGUGGUUAAAUCUCAUGUGAGACACAGAAGAGUUGAUACCUCCCCAGAGCCCAAACUAUCUGUCUGUAAUAUAGGCCACCCCUAUGGCCAAUUAUUUUCAUCCAACGGCUCAUUUCCAAUAUGGAGGUCUGAUAAGUGUGACAGAAGAUGGGAUGUGUGUGAAUGUAUGGGUUUGUGGAAAGAGAAAGGGAGAAAAAGAGAAUGAAAGAGAGAUGAGAGAAAAAUAAACAGCCUAUCAGUCUCCAUCACUGAUCCAGAUUAGAUAUACUACACUUAAUGGCUGCGUUUACACAGGCAGCCCAAUUCUGAUCUUUUUUUCACUUAUUGGUCUUUUGAACAAUUUUAUCAGCUCUGAAAAGAUCUGAUGUGAAAAGAUCUGAUGUGAUUGGUCAAAAGACCAAUUAGUGGAAAAAAAAUAAUUGGACUGCUUGUGUAAACGCAGCCUAUGAGACAUAUUAUCCCCUAUUUGUCUCUGUUUAGUUUGUGUGGGCAUGUGUGUGACGCCAUUUUGAUUUUCAUAAUCACCUCUUUCCCUCACAUCCUUCUCCUUCAAUUACUCUGUGAAUAGAUCAUACCCCCCACCGAUGACGUCCCUGUGAUACAAUGCCAUCGGACCAGUGUGCCAUGGGUGUGUGUGUGUGUGUGUGUGUGUGUGUGUGUGUGUGUGUGUGUGUGUGUGUGUGUGUGUGUGUGUGUGUGUGUGUGUGUGUGUGUGUGUGUGU
rnacentral:lncRNA from 1 species